AUAUCCCCUUCAUGGUUCCUUCGAACCACUGAUACCACUGAGAAAUUAUUUCUGACCGUUGUGUCAAAGGAGAAACUAUGAAAAUUUGGAGGAGGCUUCCAAAAUGACCAGCCCUUCCUUCAGCACCAACACUUGGGAAGUCAUAUAACACUGGCAGCCUCCAAAACCGUCUGCUUCAAACAAUCAACAUUACAGAAUCCAACUGAUCUCACCAUGUCUCCCAAGCUGCCAUGAUCAUGAUUAGUUGGUUUCAACAGUCAGUCACAUUGGUUUAAUCAAACAAGU